rnacentral:rRNA from 1 species
GACGAACGCUGGCGGCGUGCUUAACACAUGCAAGUCGAACGGAAAGGCCCUGCUUUUGUGGGGUGCUCGAGUGGCGAACGGGUGAGUAACACGUGAGUAACCUGCCCUUGACUUUGGGAUAACUUCAGGAAACUGGGGCUAAUACCGGAUAGGAGCUCCUGCUGCAUGGUGGGGGUUGGAAAGUUUCGGCGGUUGGGGAUGGACUCGCGGCUUAUCAGCUUGUUGGUGGGGUAGUGGCUUACCAAGGCUUUGACGGGUAGCCGGCCUGAGAGGGUGACCGGCCACAUUGGGACUGAGAGACGGCCCAGACUCCUACGGGAGGCAGCAGUGGGGAAGAUUGCACAAUGGGCGGAAGCCUGAUGCAGCAACGCCGCGUGCGGGAUGACGGCAUUCGGGUUGUAAACCGCUUUCGCCUGUGACGAAGCGUGAGUGACGGUAAUGGGUAAAGAAGCACCGGCUAACUACGUG